UGGGGAAUAUUGCACAAUGGGCGCAAGCCUGAUGCAGCAACGCCGCGUGAGGGACGACGGCCUUCGGGUUGUAAACCUCUUUUGGCAGGGAAGAAGCGAAAGUGACGGUACCUGCAGAAAAAGCACCGGCUAACUACGUGCCAGCAGCCGCGGUGAUACGUAGGGUGCAAGCGUUGUCCGGAAUUAUUGGGCGUAAAGAGCUCGUAGGCAGUUUGUCGCGUCUGCUGUGAAAACCCGAGGCUCAACCUCGGGCCUGCAGUGGGUACGGGCAAACUAGAGUGCGGUAGGGGAGAUUGGAAUUCCUGGUGUAGCGGUGGAAUGCGCAGAUAUCAGGAGGAGCACCGAUGGCGAAGGCAGAUCUCUGGGCCGUAACUGACGCUGAGGAGCGAAAGCAUGGGGAGCGAACA
rnacentral:rRNA from 1 species